GGGGGAAGUGGCGAAAGGGGCAGUAAGGCGUGGGUAACUUGCCCCGGGGCCAGGAAUAGCCAUCCUAACGGAUGGGUAAUACUGGAUGUCGUGGCUGGGUGGCAUCACCUGGCCAGGAAAGAUUUAUCACCCCGGGAGAGGCUCACGUAGUAUUAGCUAGUUGGUGAGGUAACGGCUCACCAAGGCCAAGAUGCUUAGCAGGUGUGAGAGCACGACCUGCGCCACUGGCACUGAGACACUGGCCAGACUCCUACGGGAGGCUGCAGUCGAGGAUCUUCGGCAAUGGGCGCAAGCCUGACCGAGCGACGCCGCGUGUGCGAUGAAGGCCUUCGGGUUGUAAAGCACUGUCGAGGGGGAGAAAAGGGCAACCUUGAUCGACCCCUGGAGGAAGCACGGGCUAAGUUCGUGCCAGCAGCCGCGGUAAGACGAACCGUGCGAACGUUGUUCGGAAUCACUGGGCUUAAAGGGCGCGUAGGCGGGCGGUCAAGUCAGAGGUGAAAUCCCACGGCUCAACCGUGGAAGUGCCCCUGAUACUGAUCGUCUCGAGGGAGGUAGGGGCGUGCGGAACUUCCGGUGGAGCGGUGAAAUGCGUAGAUAUCGGAAGGAACACCGAUGGCGAAAGCAGCGCGCUGGAUCUCUACUGACGCUGAGGCGCGAAAGCCAGGGGAGCAAACGGGAUUAGAUACCCCGGUAGUCCUGGCCCUAAACGUUGGGUACUAGGUAGUGGACUUACAUGGGUUCACUGCCGAAGCAAAAGUGUUAAGUACCCCGCCUGGGGAGUAUGGUCGCAAGGCUG
rnacentral:rRNA from 1 species